CACCGUUAUUGGAUGAUGUCACCAACAGCUACGCAGGUCUUGUUAGAAUUGCUGAAGACCUAUGUCCUUGAACUUUUGAAGGACUGAAGACUGCUGCAUAUUGCAAACGUGGCUGUCAACAUGGCUAUCCAUUACUGAGUGCCGGCGCGCACACACAGACAUUGUAGGAUAUAAGAUCUUGAAACCAGGAUUGAGUUACUGCAUAUUUCUCAGGCUAUCCAUGAAUGUUCGUCAAUGAAGUUGCCAAAACGUGAAAAGUCUCAAACCAUGGUGUUCCUGUUAAUGUCAACCAUGGAUUCAGUGUUGAUUUUGUUUGGAAGAGUACCGGCUUUGAUCGGGUGCAAGGAGCAAUGAAAACUUUUGCUGUAGAUGAAACCAGUGUCAGUGGGUGAGCUUCAUUCUAUCCUCAUGAGUGAGAUUCAGAUAAUGUUUUAAUGUGUUGUGGAUUCGAAUGUUGUUAUAUGAGAUUCAGACAGUGUAAUAUUCAGAUGAAUGCAUGUACAGAUAUUGAAAGAAAUGACAUUUGAUCU